UUAACACACAAGUUUUGAACCCCAGAAAAUUCCCCCAACGCAAUCUCUACAUAUCUGAGUUUUCAUUUGAGUUUCAAAUCAGUAGACAGUUCAAAUUCUCUUCUAAAUCUUAGAUCCUUACUCAAAAAUAUAAAAAAAACACACAAAAAUACAAUAGAAAAUAAAAAAAGGCACUGUUACAUUGAGUUUUGGUCAAUUUUGAUCAACUCUUUUCUUUUCUGAUUGCUAAAGUUUUUCCCCGGAGUACACUAUUUGAUUUCAAGUAGUUUUGGUCCAAUUAAGUUAGCUUUGGAUGAGUUUUAGGUUGGCUGAAGUAUUCUGGUGCAUUCAAGCCUAUUUGAGUGCAUUUCAAGUAGCUUUGGGUCGAUUUGUUAGUUUUUGUCUGAUUGUUGAAGAGUUUUUGAGUGUCUGGGUACAUUUUCAAAUUCAUUCGAGUUUGGUUGGUGUGUUUGGGGUUGAGUUUUCUGGAUCUGCUUAAAUUUGAAAUUCUCCUGGGUUACUGAAUUCACUACCAGGCUAAUUAUUGGAUCUCUGUUGUUAUUGCUACUGACUUAUUCUCCUUCUUCUGAAUUUCUGUCCAUGUACACUAUUUGAACUCAUUCUGGUGUAACUCCAAAUUUGAAGUGAAAUGAAGUCAAAUUCUCGAUCUAUGCUCACUUACAUGCUGUGGUUGUAGACAGUCUAUGGAUGUGUAUUUGUUAGUUUUUGUCUAUUGGAAUUGUAUUGAAUCCGAACUUGUUUGUAUUGAUUUGGACUGUUAACUAGGAUGGUUUUCUGCUGAUUUGAACUGUUUAAAUUCAUAAGAGACCGUUAUAGACUAUUAAUUUGGUUCAGUUUAUUCCCACGAAUAUGUGAGUUCUCUAGUUAGUUUGAUACAUGUUAUACUAGUAUGGCACAGUGUAAUGUGAU
rnacentral:lncRNA from 1 species